GAGACGAGCUUAGUAAGUAAGUGUGUUAGUGAGUGAAGUUUAUUAAGACAGAAUCGGAACGAUAAUUUUUUUGGAAACGUACAUGUCUGCACGAGAAAUAGCACAACUAUUAAAAUUUCAAAAACGUGAUGGUCGUGUAAACUCUGGUGUCGUGGCUCUCCACACUCUCCAGUCUCCAUGCAUGCUGUUUGGCGGAUUUCAGGCCUGAACCAGUCAUCAUUACAACACGAUAUGCAAGUUUUGCUUCUGCUGUCAUUGAUCUACCAUCAGCAACAUACUCAGUCAUCGCUUGGAUAAACAGCAUCCAGACAUCCAGCUUGAUUAGAAAAACUCAGUCCUUGUGUACACCCAUGUGAGUGUGGGGGUAUUCACGAGGACGCCCUUUUUCCGUCAUUCAACUUUUCUGCAGGAUGGAGCACUUAUGGAUGCCUGACUGUUUUUUCCCAGGCAUA